GAUGAACGCUGGCGGCGUGCCUAAUACAUGCAAGUCGAGCGAACGGACGAGGAGCUUGCUUCUCUGAUGUUAGCGGCGGACGGGUGAGUAACACGUGGAUAACCUACCUAUAAGACUGGGAUAACUUCGGGAAACCGGAGCUAAUACCGGAUGAUAUUUUGAACCGCAUGGUUCAAAAGUGAAAGACGGUCUUGCUGUCACUUAUAGAUGGAUCCGCGCUGCAUUAGCUAGUUGGUAAGGUAACGGCUUACCAAGGAAACGAUGCAUAGCCGACCUGAGAGGGUGAUCGGCCACACUGGAACUGAGACACGGUCCAGACUCCUACGGGAGGCAGCAGUAGGGAAUCUUCCGCAAUGGGCGAAAGCCUGACGGAGCAACGCCGCGUGAGUGAUGAAGGUCUUCGGAUCGUAAAACUCUGUUAUUAGGGAAGAACAUAUGUGUAAGUAACUGUGCACAUCUUGACGGUACCUAAUCAGAAAGCCACGGCUAACUACGUG
rnacentral:rRNA from 1 species